UACGGAGGGUGCAAACGUUGCUCGGAAUCAUUGGGCGUAAAGCGCACGUAGGCGGCCCAGCAAGUCGGGUGUGAAAGCCCUCGGCUUAACCGAGGAAGUGCAUUCGAAACUACUGAGCUUGAAUACUGGAGAGGAUCGCGGAAUUCCCGGUGUAGAGGUGAAAUUCGUAGAUAUCGGGAGGAACACCAGUGGCGAAGGCGGCGAUCUGGACAGAUAUUGACGCUGAGGUGCGAAAGCUAGGGGAGCAAACGGG
rnacentral:rRNA from 1 species